GAUGUUACCAUUGCUUUAAGGGCAGACUGCCAACUGUCUCCAUUUCUUUCCUGCUCACAGGCCCCUCUGGAGCUCCCUGGGACAUCACCCCUUUUCCCUCUGUCACUACCUCUGUGUUCUCAGAACAUUUCCAACAGGAGACAGGACCAAACAGAGCACCAGUUUAUAUAUAGAUCACUCUCAGUUCCCAUUGUUGGCUACAGGAAAUGCGGAACAGAGGAUGACUCAGACAUCCCCCAACCCCAAAACAGGAGCUCAGUAAGAAGAAGGAACCCAUUUUAUGACGCACUCCAAAAUUCCCUAUGGAAGACGCUUCCAAAAAGGCUAAUCAUACCAAUGAAGCUAAUGGGAGUGAGACAAUCAGGAAAAAAAAGAAUUUAUUUCACUUUUGAAAAAGAGUGAAGUUCACCUGGGCUUCUGCAAAACAAGUUCCUCUUUUUUUUCUUCCUUUUUUCACAAUUGAUGGAAAAGAUUCCACAGUCACUCGUGGUGGACAUGACACACUUCACUGACAUGCAGAAUGAGAGAAUCUGCAAGCAGCCUUCUAGAAAAACCUGAGGCACUGGGUUUUAUUUUAUUUUUGCCACACAGUUCAUUUCACAGUCUGUGGAAGUUUUUGCCAGCACAAUGAUAGGAUAUAACCUGCUUCUACUACCUCAUCACACUUAUCAAGAAACAUUAUGAACUGAAAUUGUCAACUAAUCAAAUGAGUGGCUGAGCAAUUAAAAACACUUGCAUGGGUUCUAACAUUCUCGUACUAAGGAUCUGAAAGAUGUUACUAGUACAUGACAAAAAGUCUUCAAAAAGUCUUUCUCUGCACUAGCACCUAACUAUGAACAUAGAAGACCAAAAAAAAAAGAAAAAGAAAAAGAAAAAAAACAACCUGUUUGCAAUUUGGAUCUAAUUUGCCAAUAUCUGUAGAACCAAGACUUAAAGAUUUAUUUUGUGUGCCUGAUUUUUGAAAUUAAAUUGCAGUUGAGGUUAUGUACCAAUCUUCAAAACAAGGAGCACCAGCUAUCCCAGAACACUUGCUUAUGACCCAAGAAAUAUUGUUUUUAUUCUUCAUUCUGCCACUGACUCCUUGGGCAAAUCGCUUUACUUAUUGGUGCCUCUUUGUUUCCCUGUUGUCUGCCUUGGCUAUUUAGAAUCCAAGCUCCUUGGGGCAGGGACUGUCUUUCCCUAUGUGUUUUCCCAGUGCCUAUUAUAAUGAGAUCAAAAUCUCAGUUGGGACCUCUAGGAAUCUGCUGUAAUACAAAUAGUAAUAAUAAUACUGGCAGUGCUGGGGAAUGAUUGCAAGCUGGUUAGCAUGUAUGAUGUCAGAAAUACUAAGGCAUUAUAGGGAAAUGACUAGUUGUGGGAGUAUCAUAUAAAGGAACCCUGAGGGUACUCAACAAUUGGAGAGUUGUUCUUUAGGAAAAGAAACAAGUAUCUGCCUUUUUCAUGACAGUACUGGGGAAAAAAUGCUAAAAUAAAAUAAUUUUCCCUGAAGGAAAGCCUACUGGA
rnacentral:lncRNA from 1 species